rnacentral:rRNA from 1 species
CCCUUAGAUGUUCUGGGUCGCACGCGUGCUACACUGAACGGUUCAAUGGGUAAGGUAGUGCGAAAGCAUGACCUAAUCUCGAAAUCCGUUCGUGCUGGGGAUAGAAGCUUGCAAUUAUCCUUCUUGAACGAGGAAUACCUUGUAAGCGUGAGUCAUCAUCUCACGCUGAAUACGUCCCUGCCCUUUGUACACACCGCCCGUCGCUCCUACCGAUUGAGUGUUCCGGUGAGGCUUUGGGAGAAUGGCCUCAACAUGAGUUUAUCGUGUUUUGCCGUUUGAACUUAGUCAAACCUUAUCACUUAGAGGAAGGAGAAGUCGUAACA